UACGAAGGGGGCUAGCGUUGUUCGGAUUUACUGGGCGUAAGCGCACGUAGGCGGAUUGUUAAGUCAGGGGUGAAAUCCUGGAGCUCAACUCCAGAACUGCCUUUGAUACUGGCAAUCUAGAGUCCGGAAGAGGUGAGUGGAACUCCUAGUGUAGAGGUGGAAUUCGUAGAUAUUAGGAAGAACACCAGUGGCGAAGGCGGCUCACUGGUCCGGUACUGACGCUGAGGUGCGAAAGCGUGGGGAGCAAACAGG
rnacentral:rRNA from 1 species